UGUACUGUAUGAUGAUUUGAAUAAUUAUCAAUGGGAAUCUCUCUGAAUAAGAGUGAAUGAUACGCUACAUCUGAUGGUGCA